CCUACGGGAGGCAGCAGUAGGGAAUCUUCCGCAAUGGACGAAAGUCUGACGGAGCAACGCCGCGUGAACGAUGAAGGCCUUCGGGUCGUAAAGUUCUGUUGUUAGGGAAGAACAAGUGCUAGUUAAAUAAGCUGGCACCUUGACGGUACCUAACCAGAAAGCCACGGCUAACUACGUGCCAGCAGCCGCGGUAAUACGUAGGUGGCAAGCGUUGUCCGGAAUUAUUGGGCGUAAAGCGCGCGCAGGCGGUUUCUUAAGUCUGAUGUGAAGGCCCCCGGCUCAACCGGGGAGGGUCAUUGGAAACUGGGAAACUUGAGUGCAGAAGAGGAAAGUGGAAUUCCAAGUGUAGCGGUGAAAUGCGUAGAGAUUUGGAGGAACACCAGUGGCGAAGGCGACUUUCUGGUCUGUAACUGACGCUGAGGCGCGAAAGCGUGGGGAGCAAACAGGAUUAGAUACCCUGGUAGUCCACGCUGUAAACGAUGAGUGCUAAGUGUUAGAGGGUUUCCGCCCUUUAGUGCUGAAGUUAACGCAUUAAGCACUCCGCCUGGGGAUACGGUCGCAAGNNANACANAGAUGNGNGNGNGAGNGCGAGCGACACGAGGAGAG
rnacentral:rRNA from 1 species